GAAAUUCGCACUGGAGAAGUCUAGACGGAGCACGCCGCGUGAGUGAUGAAGGUUUUCGGAUCGUAAAGCUCUGUUGUUAGGGAAGAACAAGUACCGUUCGAAUAGGGCGGUACCUUGACGGUACCUAACCAGAAAGCCACGGCUAACUACGUGCCAGCACCCGCGGUAAUACGUAGGUGGCAAGCGUUGUCCGGAAUUAUUGGGCGUAA
rnacentral:rRNA from 1 species